rnacentral:rRNA from 1 species
GAUGAACGCUGGCGGCGUGCUUAACACAUGCAAGUUGAACGAGAAGUGAAGACGGAACCCUUCGGGCGGAAGGCUUUAUUUCGAGUGGCGGACGGGUGAGUAACGCGUGGGUAACCUGCCUCAUACAGGGGGAUAACAGUUGGAAACGACUGUUAAUACCGCAUAAGACCACAGCACCGCAUGGUGCGGGGGUAAAAACUCCGGUGGUAUGAGAUGGACCCGCGUUCGAUUAGCCAGUUGGCGGGGUAACGGCCCACCAAAGCGACGAUCGAUAGCCGAUCUGAGAGGAUGACCGGCCACAUUGGGACUGAGACACGGCCCAAACUCCUACGGGAGGCAGCAGUGGGGAAUAUUGCACAAUGGGGGAAACCCUGAUGCAGCGACGCCGCGUGAGUGAAGAAGUAUUUCGGUAUGUAAAGCUCUAUCAGCAGGGAAGAAAAUGACGGUACCUGAGUAAGAAGCCCCGGCUAACUACGUG